rnacentral:tRNA from 1 species
GAGGGCAUAGCUCAGUGGUAGAGCACAUGCUUAGCAUGCAUGAGGUCCUGGGUUCAACUCCCAGUACCCCCA